CCUACGGGCGGCAGCAGUGGGGAAUAUUGGACAAUGGGGGGAACCCUGAUCCAGCCAUGCCGCGGGUGUGAAGAAGGCCCUCGGGUUGUAAAGCACUUUCAGUGAGGAAGAACGCCUGGUGGUUAAUACCCAUCAGGAAAGACAUCACUCACAGAAGAAGCACCGGCUAACUCCGUGCCAGCAGCCGCGGUAAUACGGAGGGUGCGAGCGUUAAUCGGAAUUACUGGGCGUAAAGCGCGCGUAGGUGGCUUGAUAAGCCGGUUGUGAAAGCCCCGGGCUCAACCUGGGAACGGCAUCCGGAACUGUCAAGCUAGAGUGUAGGAGAGGAAGGUAGAAUUCCCGGUGUAGCGGUGAAAUGCGUAGAGAUCGGGAGGAAUACCAGUGGCGAAGGCGGCCUUCUGGACUGACACUGACACUGAGGUGCGAAAGCGUGGGUAGCAAACAGGAUUAGAUACCCCGGUAGUC
rnacentral:rRNA from 1 species